rnacentral:rRNA from 1 species
AACGAACGCUGGCGGCAUGCCUAACACAUGCAAGUCGAACGAGACCUUCGGGCCUAGUGGCGCACGGGUGCGUAACGCGUGGGAACCUGCCCUUAGGUUCGGAAUAACUCCCCGAAAGGGGUCCUAAUACCGGAUAAUGUCUUCGGACCAAAGGGUUAUCGCCUUUGGAUGGGCCUGCGUUGGAUUAGCUAGUUGGUAGGGUAAAAGCCUACCAAGGCGACGUUCCAUAGCUGGUCAGAGAGGAUGAUCCGCCACACUGGGACUGAGCCACGGCCCGGACUCCUACGGGAGGCAGCAGUGGCGAAUAUAGGACAAUGGGCGAUAGCCUGAUCCAGCAAUGCCGGGUGAGUGAUGAAGGCCGUAGGGUUGUGAAGCUCUUUUACCCGGGAUGAUAAUGACAGUACCGGGAGAAUAAGCUCCGGCUAACUCCGUG